rnacentral:rRNA from 1 species
UACGAAGGGGGCUAGCGUUGCUCGGAAUGACUGGGCGUAAAGGGCGCGUAGGCGGUUCGUACAGUCAGACGUGAAAUUCCCGGGCUCAACCUGGGGGCUGCGUUUGAUACGUGCGGGCUUGAGUUCGGAAGAGGGUCGUGGAAUUCCCAGUGUAGAGGUGAAAUUCGUAGAUAUUGGGAAGAACACCGGUGGCGAAGGCGGCGACCUGGUCCGAUACUGACGCUGAGGCGCGAAAGCGUGGGAGCAA